rnacentral:rRNA from 1 species
UACGUAGGGUGCGAGCGUUGUCCGGAAUUAUUGGGCGUAAAGGGCUCGUAGGCGGUUUGUCGCGUCGGGAGUGAAAACCUUGGGCUUAACUCAGGGCUUGCUUUCGAUACGGGCAGACUAGAGGUAUGCAGGGGGAGAACGGAAUUCCUGGUGUAGCGGUGAAAUGCGCAGAUAUCAGGAGGAACACCGGUGGCGAAGGCGGUUCUCUGGGCAUGAUCUGACGCUGAGGAGCGAAAGUGUGGGGAGCGAACAGG